rnacentral:rRNA from 1 species
UACGUAGGGGUGCAAGCGUUUGUCCGGAAUUAUUGGGCGUAAAGAGCUCGUAGGCGGUCCGUCACGUCGGCUGUGAAAACUCGGGGCUCAACCCCGAGCCUGCAGUCGAUACGGGCGGACUAGAGUCCGGCAGGGGAGACUGGAAUUCCUGGUGUAGCGGUGAAAUGCGCAGAUAUCAGGAGGAACACCGGUGGCGAAGGCGGGUCUCUGGGCCGGAACUGACGCUGAGGAGCGAAAGCGUGGGGAGCGAACAGG